rnacentral:rRNA from 1 species
UCAAGCUAGAAAGAGCGCAAGGGGAAUGCCUUGGCAUCGAGAGCCGAAGAAGGACGUGACAAGCUGCGAUAAGUCUGGGGGAGCCGCACAUAGGCUUUGAUCCCGGAAUUUCCGAAUGGGGAAACCCGGCAGAGCAAUACUCUGUCAGCGUGCGUUGAAUAAAAUAGGCGUACGUGGGGAACCGCCUGAACUGAAACAUCUAAGUAGGGCGAGGAAGAGAAAUCAACCGAGAUUCCGCAAGUAGUGGCGAGCGAACGCGGAAGAGGGCAAACCAGAGGAUUUAUUCUCUGGGGUUGUGGACUUGCACACGGGAGACUAGGUUAGCUGAAUGGUAUGGGAAGGCCAUCCACAGAGGGUGAGAGACCCGUAAGCGAAAACCGAAGUCUUUCAGCGAGGAUCCAGAGUACCGCCGGACACGUGAAACCCGGUGGGAAGCAGGGGGGACCACCCUCCAACCCUAAAUACUACUCGAUGACCGAUAGAGGAGCAGUACCGUGAGGGAAAGGUGAAAAGGACCCCGGGAGGGGAGUGAAAGAGAACCUGAAACCUUGUGCUUACAAGCACUCAAAGCACGUUAAAGUGUGAUGAGGUACUUUUUGUAGAACGGUCCGGCGAGUUAUUGUAUGUAGCGAGCUUAAGGUGUUCAGCACCGGAGGCGAAGCGAGAGCGAGUCUGAAUAGGGCGACUGAGUUGCAUGCAAUAGACCCGAAACCAGGUGACCUAUCCAUGGGCAGGUUGAAGUGGGGGUAAAACCCCAUGGAGGACCGAACCGACCCCCGUUGCAAUGGUGGCGGAUGACCUGUGGAUAGCGGAGAAAUUCUAAUCGAACUUGGAGAUAGCUGGUUCUCCCCGAAAUAGCUUUAGGGCUAGCGUUGAUUUAGAUUACCGGAGGUAAAGCACUGAAUGGGCUAGGGGCUGAUAAAGUUACUGAACCCUAUCAAACUAAGAAUGCCGGCAAAUUGAUGAUCAGCAGUCAGACUACGUGAGAUAAGUCUCGUGGUCAAAAGGGAAACAGCCCAGACCCACAGCUAAGGUCCCAAAUAUACGCUAAGUGGAAAACGAUGUGGAAUUGCGAAAACAACCAGGAUGUUGGCUUAGAAGCAGCCACUCAUUAAAAGAGUGCGUAAUAGCUCACUGGUCGAGUGGUUCUGCGCGGAAAAUGUAACGGGGCUAAGCGUAUAACCGAAGCUUGGGAUGCAGCAAUGCAUGGUAGGGGAGCGUCGAAUACGGGGUGAAGUCGUAGCGGAAGCAGCGGUGGACUGUAUUCGAGUGAGAAUGCCGGAAUGAGUAGCGAGAAUUAUGUGGGAAUCAUAAUGGCCGAAAAUCUAAGGUUUCUUGGGGAAGGUUCGUCCGCCCAAGGUAAGCCGGGAGCUAAGGCGAGGCCGAAAGGCGUAGUCGAUGCACAUACGGUUGAAAUUCCGUAGCCACCGAACCUUAAGUACACUGACACAUGGAGAUAGCGGGACCCGGGCGUUGGUUGACCCGGGCGUAAGGGACCGAACUUUAGUAGGGAAGUCCGCGAUGCUCUGUGGCGAGAAAAGGUGUAUGGUAUGCUAAGGUGCCCGUACCGCAAACCGACACAGGUAGAUGAGGAGAGAAUCCUAAGGCCAACGGGAGAAGGGUUGUUAAGGAACUCGGCAAAAUUACCCCGUAACUUCGGGAUAAGGGGAGCCCCCUACGGGGGGCCGCAGAGAAUAGGCCCAAGCGACUGUUUACCAAAAACACAGGUCUAUGCUAAAUCGAAAGAUGACGUAUAUGGGCUGACGCCUGCCCGGUGCUGGAAGGUUAAGAGGAGAGCUUAGCGCAAGCGAAGGUUUGAAUUGAAGCCCCAGUAAACGGCGGCCGUAACUAUAACGGUCCUAAGGUAGCGAAAUUCCUUGUCAGGUAAGUUCUGACCCGCACGAAAGGCGUAACGAUUUGGGCGCUGUCUCAGCUGUAGACUCGGUGAAGUCUUAGUACCUGUGAAGAUGCAGGUUACCCGCGACUAGACGGAAAGACCCCAUGGAGCUUCACUGCAGGUUGAUAUUGGGAUUUGAUGCAGCAUGUACAGGAUAGGUAGGAGGCAAAGAGAUGGAUACGCCAGUAUUCAAGGAGCCGCUGUUGGGAUACUACCCCUGUUGUAUUGGAUUUCUAACCGGACGACGUAGAGCCGUUGACGGGACAGUGUCAGUCGGGCAGUUUGACUGGGGCGGUCGCCUCCCAAAGAGUAACGGAGGCGCCCAAAGAUACCCUCAGCUUGGAUGGAAACCAAGCGCAGAGUGCAAAGGCAAAAGGGUGUUUGACUGCGAGACCCACAAGUCGAGCAGGGACGAAAGUCGGGCUUAGUGAUCCGGCGGUGCUGAAUGGAAAGGCCGUCGCUCAACGGAUAAAAGCUACCCUGGGGAUAACAGGCUGAUCUCCCCCAAGAGUUCACAUCGACGGGGAGGUUUGGCACCUCGAUGUCGGCUCAUCGCAUCCUGGAGCUGAAGUCGGUUCCAAGGGUUGGGCUGUUCGCCCAUUAAAGCGGUACGCGAGCUGGGUUCAGAACGUCGUGAGACAGUUCGGUCCCUAUCCGGCG